UUCGGAUGAAGUCCUUGGUGACUGAGUGGCGGACGGGUGAGUAACGCGUGGGUAACCUGCCUCAUACAGGGGGAUUACAGUUAGAAAUGGCUGCUAAUACCGCAUAAGCGCACGGUACUGCAUGGUACAGUGUGAAAAACUCCGGUGGUAUGAGAUGGACCCGCGUUGGAUUAGCUAGUUGGCAGGGUAACGGCCUACCAAGGCGACGAUCCAUAGCCGGCCUGAGAGGGUGGACGGCCACAUUGGGACUGAGACACGGCCCAGACUCCUACGGGAGGCAGCAGUGGGGAAUAUUGCACAAUGGGGGAAACCCUGAUGCAGCGACGCCGCGUGAGCGAAGAAGUAUUUCGGUAUGUAAAGCUCUAUCAGCAGGGAAGAAAAUGACGGUACCUGACUAAGAAGCCCCGGCUAACUACGUGCCAGCAGCCGCGGUAAUACGUAGGGGGCAAGCGUUAUCCGGAUUUACUGGGUGUAAAGGGAGCGUAGACGGAAUGGCAAGUCUGAUGUGAAAGGCCGGGGCUCAACCCCGGGACUGCAUUG
rnacentral:rRNA from 1 species